rnacentral:rRNA from 1 species
AGAGUUUGAUCCUGGCUCAGGAUGAACGCUAGCGACAGGCUUAACACAUGCAAGUCGAGGGGCAGCGGGGGAGCGGCAACGCUCCCGCCGGCGACCGGCGCACGGGUGAGUAACACGUAUGCAACCUGCCCCGGGCCGGGGCAUAAGCGGUAGAAAUGCCGUCUAAUUCCCCAUGACGCACAGGGGGGGCAUCCCCCUUGUGCCAAAGGAGUCAAAUCCGGCCCGGGAUGGGCAUGCGGCGCAUUAGGCAGUUGGCGGUGCAACGGACCACCAAACCUACGAUGCGUAGGGGUUCUGAGAGGAAGGCCCCCCACACUGGUACUGAGACACGGACCAGACUCCUACGGGAGGCAGCAGUGAGGAAUAUUGGUCAAUGGGCGAGAGCCUGAACCAGCCAAGUCGCGUGAGGGAGGAAGGCCCUACGGGUUGUAAACCUCUUUUGCCGGGGAGCAAAGGCCGGGACGUGUCCCGGUUCGAGAGUACCCGGAGAAUAAGCAUCGGCUAACUCCGUGCCAGCAGCCGUGGUAAUACGGAGGAUGCGAGCGUUAUCCGGAUUUAUUGGGUUUAAAGGGUGCGUAGGCGGGCCGGCAAGCCGGCGGUGAAAGCCCGGGGCUCAACCCCGGCGAGCCGUCGGAACUGCCGGCCUUGAGUGGGCGAGAAGCGCGCGGAAUGCGUGGUGUAGCGGUGAAAUGCAUAGAUAUCACGCAGAACUCCGAUUGCGAAGGCAGCGCGCCGGCGCCCGACUGACGCUGAGGCAAGAAAGCGUGGGGAUCGAACAGGAUUAGAUACCCUGGUAGUCCACGCAAGUAAACGAUGAGCAUUAGCUGUCCGGGGCGAAUUGUGUCCUGGGCGGCACAGCGAAAGCGUUAAAUGCUCCACCUGGGGAGUACGCCGGCAACGGUGAAACUCAAAGGAAUUGACGGGGGCCCGCACAAGCGGAGGAACAUGUGGUUUAAUUCGAUGAUACGCGAGGAACCUUACCCGGGCUUGAAUUGCAGGAGAACGAUACAGAGAUGUUGAGGCCCUUUGGGGCUCCUGUGAAGGUGCUGCAUGGUUGUCGUCAGCUCGUGCCGUGAGGUGUUGGCUUAAGUGCCAUAACGAGCGCAACCCCUUUCCUCAGUUGCCAUCGGGCGAUGCCGGGCACUCUGGGGACACUGCCUCCGUAAGGAGUGAGGAAGGUGGGGAUGACGUCAAAUCAGCACGGCCCUUACGUCCGGGGCUACACACGUGUUACAAUGGGACAUACAGCGCGUCGGCGUCCGGCAACGUGCGUCAAAUCGUGAAAGUGUCCCCCAGUUCGGAUUGGGGUCUGCAACCCGACCCCAUGAAGCUGGAUUCGCUAGUAAUCGCGCAUCAGCCAUGGCGCGGUGAAUACGUUCCCGGGCCUUGCACAAAACGCCCGUCAAG